rnacentral:lncRNA from 1 species
AGAUAAUAACAGAGAGUGGCAGCAGAGAUAAUAACAGAGAGUGGCAGCAGAGAUAAUAACAGAGAGUGGCAGCAGAGAUAAUAACAGAGAGUGGCAGCAGAGAUAAUAACAGAGAGUGGCAGCAGAGAUAAUAACAGAGAUAAUAACAGAGUAGCAGCAGAGAUAAUAACAGAGAAUAGCAGCAGAGAUAAUAACAGAGAGUAGCAGCAGAGAUAAUAACAGAGAGUAGCAGCAGAGAUAAUAACAGAGAGUAGCAGCAGAGAUAAUAACAGAGAGUAGCAGCAGAGAUAAUAACAGAGUAGCAGCAGAGAUAAUAACAGAGAGUAGCAGCAGAGAUAAUAACAGAGAGUAGCAGCAGAGAUAAUAACAGAGUAGCAGCAGAGAUAAUAACAGAGAGUAGCAGCAGAGAUAAUAACAGAGAGUAGCAGCAGAGAUAAUAACAGAGAGUAGCAGCAGAGAUGAGAGUAGCAGCAGAGAUAAUAACAGAGAGUAGCAGCAGAGAUGAGAGUAGCAGCAGAGAUAAUAACAGAGAGUAGCAGCAGAGAUAAUAACAGAGAGUAGCAGCAGAGAUAAUAACAGAGAGUAGCAGCAGAGAUAAUAACAGAGAGUAGCAGCAGAGAUGAGAGUAGCAGCAGAGAUAAUAACAGGGACUAGCAGCAGAGAUAAUAACAGAGUAGCAGCGUAGAAGAUAAUAACGAGUUCAGCUUCUAGGUGUUCCUUCCUGUUACCAUAGCAAGAUUUAUGUGAUGCCUCCGCUGAUCUGUGAGAGAUGCUGUGAGGUGGAGAUGUCACUAGAGUUUCACCUGAGAGAUGCUGUGAGAGAGACCUAUGGAACAGCAGCGGUAGAAACUAGAGAUGAGACCUAUGGAACAGCAGCGGUAGAAACUAGAGAUGAGACCUAUGGAACAGCAGCGGUAGAAACUAGAGAUGAGACCUAUGGAACAGCAGCGGUAGAAACUAGAGAUGAGACCUAUGGAACAGCAGCGGUAGAAACUAGAGAUGAGACCUAUGGAACAGCAGCGGUAGAAACUAGAGAUGAGACCCAGUAGUGUGUGUUAGUGAGAGAUAAUCUAAAAUGUUCUAGGUGUUUUACAUCUACUAUAUAUAUUUGACUGAGGACGAUCUCUGUAGUUGAUUGCAGCAUGAAAUCCACUCUGUCGGUCACAAGAAAAGCGAUUUGCUCGUCACAUUUCACUCUUAGAUGUCGUUAGCUAGCUACGUGUGGCGUAUGUUAGGAAUAUUUCUCGAUGUAUAUGUGGGGACCGUGAAAUACGAACAUAGUUUGUUUUCGUCAUGGUUCGUCAUCGAUCUGUAUCCCUCCUCGUUCAUUCGUCGUGUUCUGUAUGUUGAUGAUGCUGUGGGCAACGGUGCAUUGAAGUGCUGCUUUCUUUACUAGAAAUCACUUUUUAUUUUUACACUUUAUUUUAAUUUUAUUUUUUACUUUUUUGGAGAGUCUCUUCUGACAGCUAAAACACUUAAAGAGCUGUUACACAAGUGCAGUCAAUGAGUAGUUAAUAAUUGAUUACAGUGCGACGACUUUCCCCCCCUCCGUGUAAUAUGCACUCUUAUCACUAUUGGUAAAUCACUCUAAAUAUGUACUGUAUCAUAGCAGCCAGCUGAUAACAUGUCUGUUACUAAGCAACUUCAAAAUAAACCAGAUGGCUUAUUAAUAUUAUUAUUAUUAUUAUUAUUCAUCUGAGUUCAUUAUUUCCACCUUCUCCAUGUACAAAAAAAACAAUAACAAAAAAGUUUAGAGAGGAAUAAGAAUCAGGAUUUUUAUCGAAUGCAAUUUUAUGUUGUCAGGCUAUCAUUUUAAAGAAAAGGGUGCAUUUCUUCUCCAGAGUGAAAUGAACUGUAUAAAGUAUUUAUGCAAUUAUUAACUGGGUUUUUAAUUUUGUGUUUAUUAUUAUUUUUCUGUCAGGAAGUUGUUACGUGUUUUGUGUGGAUUAACACAACUGACUUUGUGUCCAGUUGCAUUGUACAUGUUUUAACUGCAUUAUUUUUAGGGUUUAUUUUAAUAAUUUUUUUCGUGAUUUUUUUUCUUCUUUUUCUCAACGCAUUUGAGUUGUUUUAAGCCAUUAUUAACCCCCCAAGCGAUAGGUCGGUGUACAGUUACGAUGGGAGUGCUGGAGAUGUGCCCCAACUCUGGGUGGCCUUUUUGUAUUCUUUAUGGGAGAAAAAAAAAUAAGGACUGAUCAAAUUUAAAUAAUGUAUUAUUUUGAUGGUCUUGUAUUAGACUGCAUUACUACAGUAUCUAGUGUGCAAUCUGUGAUGAUAGCUGAAUGUUCAUUGUAUAUAUGUGUUCAGUACAACAAUGAGAAGAACCGUAGAAUAACCCCUACAGAAACUGUAACAAUAAUACAAUAGAUCUGGUACGUAUCAUUUCAUUAAAUACUUGCUGUUUACCAC